AGUGAACGCUGGCGGUAGGCCUAACACAUGCAAGUCGAACGGCAGCACAGUAAGAGCUUGCUCUUACGGGUGGCGAGUGGCGGACGGGUGAGGAAUACAUCGGAAUCUACUUUUUCGUGGGGGAUAACGUAGGGAAACUUACGCUAAUACCGCAUACGACCUACGGGUGAAAGCAGGGGAUCUUCGGACCUUGCGCGAUUGAAUGGGCCGAUGUCGGAUUAGCUAGUUGGCGGGGUAAAGGCCCACCAAGGCGACGAUCCGUAGUUGGUCUGAGAGGAUGAUCAGCCACACUGGAACUGAGACACGGUCCAGACUCCUACGGGAGGCAGCAGUGGGGAAUAUUGGACAAUGGGCGCAAGCCUGAUCCAGCCAUACCGCGUGGGUGAAGAAGGCCUUCGGGUUGUAAAGCCCUUUUGUUGGGAAAGAAAAGCAGCAGGUUAAUACCCCGCUGUUCUGACGGUACCCAAAGAAUAAGCACCGGCUAACUUCGUG
rnacentral:rRNA from 1 species